AUGUUAGCUCAGGGAGAAUCUUCCUCACCAAAAAAAAAACCAAAAAACAAAAAAACCAGAGCAGAAUGACCUGGCAACUGUUCCGAAAAGCUGGAAUAAUUUGAGGCCAAGACAACAGCCUUAUCAGAAAGAACUGCCUUUACCUAGCUGGCAAAAGAAGUCAAAUAUUGUCUAAAACAAUAAAUGGAAAGAUACACCAUAUUCAUUGGUUGGAAGACUCGAUAUUGCCAUGAUGUCAAUUCUCCUAAAUAAUAUAAGGUAGCUAGCACAGAGAGGGGGCAUCUACCAGGCACUCAGUUACUCUUGUUAUCACUUUAGAAUCAGAAAGUUCUAUAAAACAGAAAUCAUUAUAUCCUUUUGGCAGUAAUCAGUUCAGACUUGGGACAGUCUCUUAAAAUCAGAAGUAAACUACACUGGAAAACUGGAGACCUAGUUGUACUCCAACUGUGGCAGCAUUUAUUUUUGUGAUAUUAGGCAAGUCAUUUCACCCCUCUGGGCCUGAGUCCCUCACUUAGGAAAUCAGGUGGUUAAUAGAUACUCACUCCUGUCUCACUUCUAAUACUUAUCAUCUAAGACAGAGGGAGUUUAACAUCAAAUUUAUUAUCAUGACAAAUUUAAGACACGCCUCACUGCUGCAACUUGAGCAUUGAAGAGCAGAGCAAAUGCAGGUGAGAGUGAGCUUUUUGUCCGAAUCAUUUCAGAUAAUUGCCUUAAUUAUCGAUUGGCAUUAUAGAUCUAUCCACGAUCUGUUAGUAAUAUCAAGGUAAUAAUCAAAUAAAACCCCAGAAUUUUGUACUUUCCCAAAUCAGAUUAUUAAGAGUAAGCAAAGAACUACGUUUUAUGGUCUUUUGAUUUCGACUUUCAAGGCAUUCACAGGGCAGACUACCAACUGCUCAUUGUAAAGUCCCUGAAAGUAGCAUUUUUGAAAAAGUACCUGCUGUUUUAUUCUUAGGCUAGAUAUUUGGGCUCUGUUUUGAGGACGCGUACAGCUUUAUAGUCAACCAAGUAGACAGCCCAGCUGUCAGUUUGCCUGUCUUACCAACAAUGUUAUUUUUAUUUCCCUACAAUGUUUUCUUUAGCACAUUCAGCUGGUAUAGUCUAAAUUGUUAUUUUUUUACUUUUUCUUUGAGUACCUUUAUAUUUUUUCAAAAGCACAGUGGUGCAGUAUGCACUGCUGUGUAUAGACUAUGAACCUUAGAGUUGGUGAUGUGCUACCCAAUCGUCCUUCCUUUCCUUCUUUAGAAUCAGCCUCUUCCCACUCUCUCAGAUCAGUUAGUUUGUUCCAUUCACUUACUCAUACCCAGUAGUAAAGUUUGGUUUAUAUUUAGUUUGCUAAAGGACUGCUAAGUGAUUUCAUAUGCAUAAGCAUCUAUAGAUAGGGAGAUUUGUUCUUCUAUUUAUAUUCUGAAAGGUCAAAACCUUUUGGACAGUUGAAAUUUCAAGAAAUAUGAAAUGUCUUGCUUCGUUUGCGUGUUUUUAGUGAAUUUGAAUAUUUCACUAAAGUUGGCAGCCUUGAAUAUAUCAAGGUCUCUUCAGAAUUUUUCGGUGGGUAACGAACUUCAUUUUAUAUAUAUAUUUUUUUCUUUUUCACAGUUUCUGUACUGGCAAAUUUAAACUUUGGGCCGGUGUUUCUGCAUUCCAAUUUGAUAAUGAGCCUUAACCAUUUUCUCCAUUAAAGGAGAAAAAAAAUACUUGGGAAGCAAAUGGCUCACAAAGUAAUCUGAGAGAUGGCGAAAGAACAGUUCCCAGCAUGAAAUGAAAAUAACGCUCACCAAGAAUGAAGUGGAAUUGCAGAAGCCCGCCCUCUGCAGCUGCUUUGGACAGUUGACGAUCUUACUUAAAUAACGUUCUCCUUGGGUCCUUUGUCGUAUCUUCGACCACUAAGGUUUUAGAGCCUGAAACAUGAUUAAGUUUACAAUAUGGGUGCUCAAAGAGAGCCCUCCAUUUUCUUCAGGUUGAGGGGGAUGGGCAUUCUCUCAGGCCUACCCCAUUGGUUACCUUAAGUCUCAUAAAAUUCUUUAUAAAUUUGCCAUACAAACUUUUAGAUAUUUUUCUUUCAAAUAAAAACUUUUCUAAAAUAGACGAUUUGUUUUGUGAUGGCAAGAUUGUCUAGGGGAUCCUAACAAAUAAUUAAUAAAGCAGUCUAACAUGAAAUAAGGAGCCAGACUUUGGUUCUAAUUCCAGUGUCAUUGCAUAAUUACUGUAUGGCACUGGAAAAGUCCACUUGCCUUUCUCAUCAGAGUUAUUGUGAGGGUUAAGUACAAAUAUACCUUAAAGCAUUAUGCAGGUAUGAAGUGUUUUCUCCAAAGAGCCACCCAAAUGAACAGUCCCAACAACAUAUCUCUAUUCAAAUUGGUUUUUCAGAUCAUGUCUAUAUUUCCACCUCUCCGACCUCCUCACUACUCCAUCUCUGCAAGCAUGUUUUAGAAUGAUGAGUUCUGAGCUGUUGCAUCCUGGGAAAGGGAGGCAUAAGUCCGUGUGGACUGUCCCCUGAAGACAGCUGCCCAAAGGUUGCUUUGGCCAAGAUAAUCAGGAAAAUGUUGAAUAUCAUUAAGAAAAUUAGGAAAAAAAACCUGGAUCCAGAGUUGAAGACGCCGUCCCAGCACUCAGGAAGUCUACGAGUGAUGCAGAAAUCUUGGAGUCACCUUGGACACACACCUUCCUUUCAUUAACAGACGUUUGUCGGGCAUCUACAGUGAGCCAGGAACACAGCUAAUGUUGGACAAUUUGCAGGUGCAUUCAUGCUUUUGACCAAACAGAAUGCCAUUUGAUAAGGGGAAUCGACUUGCCUAAGUUUACACAGUGAAUGAAUGGAUUACCUCCUACUCACCUAAACCAGCCAUCCUGAAGAUAAGGUCAAAAUUACAACCAGAUUUCACGUGUAUAUUUUCAUACUCCCUCUUCUCUGCCAUCUUUACAUGCCCAUCUUGGAUCUCAACUUCUUCUUCAGGCCAAAAUCAUUCAAUUGGACCUUCCUAACUUUCCCAUUGAUGUAAGAGGCAAUGCUAGUGAAGAAAACACAUUGCAUCCCCCUUCCACCCUUGAAAGUCAUCCAGUUUGAUCUUCAAGUCAAUGCACUAGAGCUGGCUGCCUUCCUGCCAUAGGACUUCAUCCAAAACUACACCCACACAAGCCAUGUGUCUACUCCCUCCUGUAUCUUAUUAAAGGCCAUGUUGAUGAUCCAAACAGAAUGGGAAAAUUAUGUUUGGGGAGAAGACUGUAUGCCUGGAUACACUUGGCUAGGGCAGAACUUGCCUGUCUGUAGAAGUUUUCUGAGGCUCCUUCCAAUAAAAGAGUGAAUUCUGCUUCCUAUCCUCUCAGGAUAUUGUCUGUAAUAAAGUUGCAUUUUGUUGCACUUUAUACACUCCGAAGAACUUUGGCAGAUAUUAUUGCAUGUGAUCCUCACCAGAAACUUGUGAGCUAAGCAGAACAUUCAUUUAAUAAGUAUUUAAUGCCUCCUACUAUGUGCCAGGCCUUGUGCUGGGCCUUGGCUUAAGCAUAUGAAUAAGAUUAACUCCUCCUCAUCCUUCCAGUCUCAACAAAUGACAUCUUUUCAGAGAGGACUUCGCUUCCACCCGCUUCCACUCUCAUCAUAUCCUGCUUGUAUCCAUCAUAGGACUUAUCACAAUUUAAUUAUAGAUGUAUUUGUUUAUUACUUGCACUGUAAGCUUCAGGAGGGUUGGAACUUUGUCAUAUUCCCCACUGAAUCCCCACAAAUAGCACAGUGAGAAAGAGUUCACAGUCUGGUAAAGGGAAACAGACUAGUAUACACAUAAACAUAGUAAGUUAGUGCUGCUGCCUUGGAAAAAGUCUGUUGAGAGUAGGGGCCUAACAACAGGAGGAACAAAUUCUAUUUCUAUGUGUCAGAAAAAGCUUCACUGAUGGGGUUACGCUUGAACUGGAAUGUCAAAAGAUGAUAAGGGAACAAAGAUGGGUAAAUACUCCCCCAAAGAGAAAGCAACAUAGACAGUAGCUUGGAGGCAUAAAACAGCGUGCCGCAUUCUAGGAACUGCAGGUAUUUUGGUAAUUUCUAGAGCAUGUAAGAGUGAAGUGGAGGGUGUGAGUUGGUGAGAGAUGAGCUUGAAGAAGCAACACAGAAGCCAGGUUAGCAAGAGGACCUUGAAUGCUGUACUACCCAAUUUGAACUUUAUUCCAUUCGCAAUAACAACAGCUACCACCCGUUGACUACUUCCAUUUACAAUAAUAAUAGCUACUAUUUAUUGACUACUAACUUUGAGCUGAGUACUUUACAUACAUUUCCUUUAAAAAAAGCCUCUUUAUUAUGGAAAAUUUCACACAUAUAUAAAAGUAGAGAGAAUGAUAUAAUGAACUUCCAUGUACCCAUUACCCAACUUCAACAAUUAUCAACUCAUGACAAUUGUUCUGGUUAUCUAUUGCUGCAUAAAAAAACUACCAUCCAAACUUAGUGGUAUAAAAUAACAAUGAUUUUAUUAUAUCCCAUGAUUUCCGGGGCCAGGAAUUUGGGCAGGGCGAUUCUGCUCCUUAUAGCACUGACUUAGGCCACUCAGUAGUACUCUGCUGAUGGGUGUGCUAGCCUGGAGGCUCCAAGACUGCUUUAACUCCUAUGUUUGGUAGCUUGAUAGGAAUGCCUGGAAGGCUCAGAUGGGCUAGAAUGUGGACUGGAGUACCUAAACGUAGCCUCUCUGGCACAGCAGUCUCAGGGUAGUCAGACUUCUUCCUGUUUUCUCCAUGAGCAAAUGUCCCAAAAAAACUAGGUGGAAGCUUCAUGACCUUUUCUGACCUCACCUUAGAAGUCACACAGCGUCACUUCUGCCACAUUGGUUAUGAGUUAUAAGGCUUGCUAAGAUUCAAGGGAAGCAGAAUUAGAUUUAAUCUCUAAAAUGUUGCCUCUAACAACCAAUCUGCUUUCUGUUUCUAUGCUUUUACCUAUUCUGGAUAUUUCAUAUAAAUGGAAUCAUGUGACCUU